CUUCUAGUGGAUUUCUGCCCUUAAACAUAGCAUAAACAUUUAGAAAAAAAGUGGAAUUACCACUAGAUAGAUGGUUAUUUGUUUUGAUUCAGGGACAGGUAUCUAAACAUUUCCAAUAUUUUUAAACUUUGCCACCAAUGAAAAUAUUCUUUGUCUCACUGCAAAUUUGCCAACAAGGAAGCUCUGUCUGUAAAAAUAGGUGUGAUGGCUACAAUAAUACAGAAUUUCCUUUUCAGUUCUUUUGAUCUCAAAUUACUGGAAUUUAAACCAAAUAAACAUUUUAAUUUCUAACAGACAGAUGGUAUGAAGAUAAAAAAAAAAUCAUUUAAUCAAGAGCAGUCCCAGGGCCAGUUGGGACAUCACUGGAUUCUACAAAGGGUCACACAACUCCCCACCAAGAGAAGACCACCUACGAUGCUAGCGAAAUGAAGGCCUUCUCUGGGGACUGCACCACUGGAUUCGCCUUCAGCUUCUGACUGGAUUCAGCGCCAGAGAGGCACCGGAGGAGGACAGGGUGCAAGGAGAAUGCCGUCUGUUCUCCUGAUACCUCCUUGCUAGGUCUCAGGCUGGUUACCUUCAACCCUCUCCCCCAGGUCUCAGCUCUCAUAAUUGGCCCACUCCUGCAGCUGUCCUCCGCAUCUGGCAACAGCUUCCUCCCUUUACCCCGGCCCCCCCCCCCCCACCCACCCAGGCAUGGUGAUGGCUUCCAGCUGUUGCUAUCCCCAAGGCUGCCCAACCCUGAUGUUCCCCUUAUUAUUGCUCAAACCUUUGUUAAUAGUUAAGCUCUCCCCAAACUACUCUCUUUUCAGAGAGAUUUCUCUUUUUCUUGCUGGGGCCUCAGCUGCCAAACUGGAAAGAUUUAAGAUUAUUCCUUUCACUGACUACUAGUUUUAUGAAAUGCUAUUUAAGGCACUACGUGUCCUACCUAUAUUUUUGUAUUCUAUGAAGCCAACGUUAGGGAAUUGAGCCAAGAAUCAAAAUUAGAGAAGAGGAAGGUCUCUGAAGUUUUAGGCCACACUCUCCCCUACAGUCUUCAGAAAUACAACAUACAACAUGGUGCAGUCAAGACAGCAGAAAACAAAACACAAAAACUCCCAUUAAAACAAGGCUAAAAAGAGUUACAUUUAAAAAUCAACAUAACUUGAAAAAAAAUAGUAUUUUAUUUUUUUUUUUUUCUAUUUCAGUCUACAAUAAUGUAAGCAACCUCUAGUGGUUAUGAGGAACAAAGCAAUGGGCACUCGUUGGAGACCAGAUUCCAUGCUUAGGACAGGAAAGCCAAAGACAAGCCUGGAUCUGUUGUCAAACAACAAGGACAAUUCCAGAAAUGUACGCUGGUAUUGUGACAAAGCCACACACGCCAAUCCAACGAAAGCUCAGUGAAAAACUCAAUAGUGACAAGUGAAACAUGAGACAAUACCAAGCCAUUCGUUAUCAUCAGUUGAACCUAAAAGAAUUAUACAUACUAUCACUUCAAGAAACAAAUAAUAUAAACCAUGCUUUAAAAAAGGAACAUAUACCAACAGUAAUCAAUAAUUUGUGCUCAGUUUAUCAUAAAAAAUGAGGUGAGAAGGAGUGAAAACGACUUCUUGAUUUUAAAAAUCAUAUCCUAUUUUUUAAUUGAUAUGCCUUCCCCUGGCACUGAAUGGGCAUUCCACGCCCAUGUCUCUUGUGAUCCUUGAGUCUUGGUCUCCCAUUAGUCUUAUGGGCACCUUAUGCUCGGGUGUUUAGAAAAAGCACCCAGAUACAGGCAGGUGUCUGCAGCUACGCACACACAGGGACAACAAGGAGAGGGUCAAGCAGAGCCUCGGGCCUGGAGUCAGCAGGGCUUGAUGUGGUCAAAGGAAGCCGUCCUGAGUAUUGCCCGGAGAACCUGGGUGCUGCCUGGCCCCACACUCCUGUGGUCUGAGGCCCCAGCAUUUCUCUGGUUCUGCCUCUCUCUCACACCUGGAACCCUGGAGUCCGUGGAACCCAGUCUAUACGCUAGGUGAGCCCUCUGCUGACACGGUAGGAGCCCUCCCUGCCCCAAGGCUCCUGCCCCAAUUUCCCUUUCCCAUCCUGCUUUCUCACGAAUUCUCUGAAGGCCCUGCCUUGCCUGGCACCCCUUUGUCUUUUCUCCCGUUCAGAGCUGCCUAUAGUCAUAUCUCUGUAGUCAUAUCCCUAAAAUUACCGACAAUGACUGGUGGACACCGCUUGUUCUCAGUUCUGAUUAGGUGUGCCCCAUGGAGGCUGCUAACUCAGACACCAUUCACUGCUCCUCCUCUGCUCACCCCUUCCUGCUCUGGCCCGCUUUCCUCCCAGCAUGCUGUGUCGUGCUCUUUGCUUUCAGCCCCAGUGGGAACUCAUGCUGGUGUAAGUUAUCAGAGAAAAGGCUUGGUUAUUCCUCUGGACCCUGUAUUUAUCUUAAAAUUGUAUUCUUCACAACAUGUUUUCUUCACUAUACCAUGGUGUGAAUUAUUUUUUUUUUAAUGCCAAUCAAGUACUAAAAUAACUCCCCCCAUAUCUCAUACUAUGAACCACUUUUUUUUUUCUUUCGUA